UACGUAGGUUGCGAGCGUUGUCCGGAUUUACUGGGCGUAAAGCGCGCGCAGGCGGUUCCGAAAGUCGGACGUGAAAGCUCCCGGCCCAACUGGGAGAGGCCGUUCGAAACUUCGGGACUCGAAGGCGGGAGAGGCAAAUGGAAUUUCCGGUGUAGCGGUAAAAUGCGUAGAUACCGGAAGGAACACCAGUGGCGAAAGCGAUUUGCUGGCCCGCCCUUGACGCUCAGGCGCGAAAGCUAGGGGAG
rnacentral:rRNA from 1 species